rnacentral:rRNA from 1 species
AUUGAACGCUAGCGGCAUGCCUAACACAUGCAAGUCGAACGGCAGCGGGGGGAGCUUGCUCCCUGACGGCGAGUGGCGGACGGGUGAGUAACACGUAGGAAUCUACCUUAAUUAUAAUAGUUAGUGGGGGAUAACCCGGGGAAACUCGGGCUAAUACCGCAUAAUCUCUUCAAAGCAAAGCGGGGGAUCUUCGGACCUCGUGCUAUGAGAUGAGCCUGCGUCGGAUUAGCUAGUUGGUAGGGUAAUGGCCUACCAAGGCGACGAUCCGUAGCUGGUCUGAGAGGACGAUCAGCCACACUGGGACUGAGACACGGCCCAGACUCCUACGGGAGGCAGCAGUGGGGAAUAUUGGACAAUGGGGGAAACCCUGAUCCAGCAAUGCCGCGUGUGUGAAGAAGGCCUUCGGGUUGUAAAGCACUUUCAGUGGGGAAGAAAUUCUCAAGGCUAAUACCCUUUUGAGCGUUGACGUUACCCAC